AUUGAACGCUGGCGGCAGGCCUAACACAUGCAAGUCGCACGUGUGGCGGACGGGUGAGUAAUGUCUGGGAAACUGCCUGAUGGAUGGGGUUAACUACUGGAAACGGUAGCUAACACCGCAUACCAUCAGAUGUGCCCAGAUGGGAUUAGCUUGUUGGUGGGGUAACGGCUCACAAAGGCGACGAUCCCUAGCUGGUCUGAGAGGAUGACAAGCAACACUGGAAGUGAGACAAGGUCCAGACCCGUACGGGAGGCAGCAGUGGGGAAUAUUGCACAAUGGGCGAAAGCCUGAUGCAGCCAUUCCGCGUGUAUGAAGAAGGCCUUCGGAUUGUAAAGUACUUUCAGCGGGGAGGCGUUACCCGCAGAAGAAGAACCGGCUAACUCCGUGCCAGCAGCCGCGGUAAUAC
rnacentral:rRNA from 1 species